UACAAUUGAUAACACAUUUUUGAUGGUGGUUCGACCGUAUAAAAGCUUUCAAGAUUCACCUGAAACGAGAUUCAAUCUACGAUGGUUUUUUUUUCCAUUUUUCACGAUUUGUUUUGUUUAAUCGAUAUUUAAUGGAAUAAUACAAUGU
ensembl:ncRNA T02E9.10 ncRNA